rnacentral:rRNA from 1 species
CCUGGUCGAUCCUGCCAGUAUUAUAUGCUUGUCUCAAAGAUUAAGCCAUGCAUGUCUAAGUAUAAGCACCUUUAUACUGUGAAACUGCGAAUGGCUCAUUAAAUCAGUUAUAGUUUAUUUGAUGAUACCUUACUACAUGGAUAACCGUAGUAAUUCUAGAGCUAAUACAUGCGCACAAUCCCGACUCUCUGAGAAGGGAUGUAUUUAUUAGAUACAAAGCCAAACGGGAUUUCGGUCCUGUGUCCUGGUGAUUCAUAAUAACUGUUCGGAUCGCAUCGGCUUCGUGCCGGCGACAGGUCAUUCAAAUUUCUGCCCUAUCAGUUUUCAACUGUAGUGUCGUGGACUACAGUGACAAUGACGGGUAACGGAGAAUUAGGGUUCGAUUCCGGAGAGGGAGCCUGAGAAACGGCUACCAGGUCUAAGGAUUGCAGCAGGCGCGCAAAUUACCCAAUCUCGACACGAGGAGGUAGUGACAAGAAAUAACAACGCCGGGCUUUUACAAGUCUGGUGAUUGGAAUGAGAACAAUCUAAAUCCCUUAUCGAAUGCAACUGGAGGGCAAGUCUGGUGCCAGCAGCCGCGGUAACACCAGCUCCAGUAGCGUAUAUUAAAGUUGUUGCAGUUAAAAAGCUCGUAGUUGGAUUUCUGGCACGGAUUAAGCCGAGCUGCGCUUUUCGGAGUGCGGAUUUGGUUUUCCUGGCCAUCCUUCGCAGAAACCAGUUUGGCUCUUUACUGAGUUUUGACUGGGUUCGCGAUCUAUUACUUUGAAAAAAUUAGAGUGUUCAAAGCAGGCUUAUGCUUCUGAAUACAUUAGCAUGGAAUAAUAAGAUAGGACUUCGGUCUUAUUUUGUUGGUUUUGAGGACUGAAGUAAUGAUUGAUAGGGAUCGUUGGGGGUGCUCGUAUUCAGCGGCCAGAGGUAAAAUUCGGUGAUUCGCUGAAGAUGAACAAAUGCGAAAGCAUUCACCAAGGAGGUCUUCUUUAACCAAGAACGAAAGUUAGGGGAUCGAAGACGAUUAGAGACCGUCGUAGUCUUAACCAUAAACUAUGCCAACUGAGGGUGAGUAGUUGUUGUUUUGACAUUAUUUGAACUCCACGGGAAACUAAAGUUUUUGGGUUCCGGGGGGAGUAUGGUCGCAAGGCUGAAACUUAAAGGAAUUGACGGAAGGGCACAACCAGGAGUGGAGCCUGCGGCUUAAUUUGACCCAACACGGGAAAACUUACCAGGUCC